CAGCCGCCGCGGUAAUACGUAGGUGGCAAGCGUUGUCCGGAAUUAUUGGGCGUAAAGGGCUCGCAGGCGGUUUCUUAAGUCUGAUGUGAAAGCCCCCGGCUCAACCGGGAGGGUCAUUGGAAACUGGGAGACUUGAGUGCAGAAGAGGAGAGUGGAAUUCCACGUGUAGCGGUGAAAUGCGUAGAGAUGUGGAGGAACACCAGUGGCGAAGGCGACUCUCUGGUCUGUAACUGACGCUGAGGAGCGAAAGCGUGGGGAGCGAACAGGAUUAGAUACCCCAGUAGUCCCUGUCUCUUAUACA
rnacentral:rRNA from 1 species